rnacentral:rRNA from 1 species
UUUGAACGCUGGCGGCAGGCUUAACACAUGCAAGUCGAGCGGGGUGAUGGUGCUUGCACUAUCACUUAGCGGCGGACGGGUGAGUAAUGCUUAGGAAUCUGCCUAUUAGUGGGGGACAACAUCUCGAAAGGGAUGCUAAUACCGCAUACGUCCUACGGGAGAAAGCAGGGGAUCACUUGUGACCUUGCGCUAAUAGAUGAGCCUAAGUCGGAUUAGCUAGUUGGUGGGGUAAAGGCCUACCAAGGCGACGAUCUGUAGCGGGCCUGAGAGGAUGAUCCGCCACACUGGGACUGAGACACGGCCCAGACUCCUACGGGAGGCAGCAGUGGGGAAUAUUGGACAAUGGGGGGAACCCUGAUCCAGCCAUGCCGCGUGUGUGAAGAAGGCCUUAUGGUUGUAAAGCACUUUAAGCGAGGAGGAGGCUCUUUUGGUUAAUACCCAAGAUGAGUGGACGUUACUCGCAGAAUAAGCACCGGCUAACUCUGUGCCAGCCGCCGCGGUAA